AACAAGGUGGGAGGAGAAGAGCAGUGCACCACGAUUGCACAGCCCUCCGGUGAAAAAUGAUAUUGUAUCUGUUAAAUAGGGGCCGUGGAUGAUUCUGAUUUGAUGGAGAAUGGACGUGAAAGCACAGAGGAACAUCUGGAGAAAUUUCUGAAAUGCUCGUUCUCUGCUGUCUUUACUGCGUGGUCGGGAAUCUUUUGGAGGGUAGGCCUCAAAAUCCCUGGCCUUGCCUGCUUUUGGCAACCGAGAAGGAGGUUGAAUCGUUCGGACAGAGAUGACGCUCAGUACUCGGUAUCGGAGAGCUGAUCAGAGCUCGAAGUUUUCAGAUGGCUCAGAGUCGGACUGUGGUCAGCAUGGCAGGGAGAGCUCUUCCUUCUCCCGCCUGCGUGAGAUGUGGGACACUUAAGAGACUCUGAACUUUUACUGUGCUCAUGGACUUCUUCAUCAGGUUAUAGUAUUGUUGCACUGUUGUAAAUAUAUGUAUAAUUAUGUGGUUUUGUCAGUUUUUUCGGUCUGUCCUGUGUUUUGUGAUAUCACAAUGGAGGAAAUAUUGUAUCAUUUCUUAAUGCAUGCAUUACUAAAUGACAAUAAAAGAGGACUACGUGUCUUCAUAAUCUAACAUCGGACAGACAGGCAUGUGAACAGGUGGGGAGCAGAGGGAUGAGGAGUUCCCAACCUGGGGUCUACGGGCCCUUUGGUUAAUGGUAAGGGUCAAUGGCAUAACAAAGGUUGGGAACCCUUAUAAAUGAUACUGACCUUGUAAAGGCCAUGUGGUUACAAUUGUAUUAUGGUUAGCACAAAUAUUAUAGGUUGAAGGGUCUUUCCCUGUGCUGUACUGUUCUAUAUUUUAUGUUACACCACCCAUUAGGAUUGUGGAUCAGAUGUAGUUCCUUUUAAAGUUCAUAGGGAUGGUUUUGGGGACAGAGGGGAGAGUUAGAGCUCAGAGUACCUCCAACAAAUUCAGGAACAUUUAUUACCCCUCAACCAUCUGGCUCCUGAACCAGAGGUAAUAAUUUCAUUCACCCCAACACGGAGGUCCCAACUGAUUCCCUUUCAAGGAGUCUGCAACUCCUGUUCUCAAUGUUAUUCAUUACUUAUUUAUCUAUUAUUGUGAUUUUGUUUUUAUUUUUGUAUUUGCAGUAUUUGUUGUCUUUUGCACAAUGGCUGUUUGCCUGUGUUUGUAGAUUUUUUGUUGAUUCUAUUGUGUUUUUUGUAUUUAUUGUGAAUGCCUGCAAGAAAAUGAAUCUCAAGGUAGUAUAUGGUUACAUAUAUGUAGGAAAGGAAAGGUACGUCGCAUCCGGGAGUUUCUCUGGUUAGCGGACGAUUUCUCUCCACGCCUCUCUGACGUAGUGGGGAACCGCGUACGAGGCAAGUUACAGCAGUUGUUUGCCAUUGCCUUCUGCUGGCUUAAGAUGGCACUGCUCCAUAAUUGCGUGCUCCAGAAUUGAUUGGAAAAGAACACUGGCAGGGAUGAUGGCAGAACGGCAGUGGCUGGAAUUUCCAGAAGCAAUUCAGAAGGCACAGGAUAUAUAAAUGACAAAGAGGAAGAAGUAUUCUCAAGGAGAAAAUGGCACAAUCAUGGCCAACAAGAGAAAUCAAAGUCAACAUAAAAGCCAAAGAGAGGGCAUAUAAUAGACCAAAAAUUAGUGGGAAGUUAGAGGACUGGGAAGCUUUCAAGUACCAACAGAAGGCAUUCACAGCAGAAUAAAGAAAUUCAAGAGAAUCAAUGAAAAUCUACACACAAGCAAAGACCGACAAAUAACUAAUAGGCGAAGGAAG